rnacentral:rRNA from 1 species
AUUGAACGCUGGCGGCAUGCUUUACACAUGCAAGUCGGACGAGUGGCGAACGGGUGAGUAAUAUAUUGGAACGUACCGAGUAAUUGGGGAUAACCAAUCGAAAGAUUUGCUAAUACCGCACAUUAUGCGCGCGGCCAUUAUCUGAUUAGCUAGUUGGUGGGGUAAAGGCCUACCAAGGCGACGAGCAGUAGCGGGUCUGAGAGGAGGAUCAGCCACACUGGGACUGAGACACGGCCCAGACUCCUACGGGAGGCAGCAGUGGGGAAUUUUGGACAAUGGGGGAAAGCCUGAUCCAGCCAUGCCGCGUGUCUGAAGAAGGCCUUCGGGUUGUAAAGGACUUUUGUUAGGGAAGCGGUACCUGCAGAAUAAGCACCGGCUAACUACGUGCCAGCAGCCGCGGUAAUAC